AGCGAGAAAGAACUAACAAGGGAUCCCCUAGUAACUGCGAGUGAAGCGGGAAAAGCUCAAAUUUAAAAUCUGGUGGCCUUUGGUCAUCCGAGUUGUAAUUUAGAGAAGCGUCUUCCGCGCUGGACCAUGCACAAGUCUCCUGGAAUGGAGCGUCAUAGAGGGUGAGAAUCCCGUCUUUGGCAUGGAUGCACCAGGGCUUCUGUGAUGCGCUCUCGAAGAGUCGAGUUGUUUGGGAAUGCAGCUCAAAAUGGGUGGUGAACUCCAUCUAAAGCUAAAUAUUGGCGAGAGACCGAUAGCGAACAAGUACCGUGAGGGAAAGAUGAAAAGCACUUUGGAAAGAGAGUGAAACAGUACGUGAAAUUGUUGAAAGGGAAACGCUUGAAGUCAGUCGCGUCGACCGAGACUCAGCCUCGCCUUGGCUUGGUGUACUUCUCGGGCGACGGGUCAGCAUCAAUUUUGCCCCUCGGAUAAUGACAAGGGAAAGGUAGCACCUUUAUGGGUGUGUUAUAGUCUCCUGUCGCAUGCGAGGGUUGGGAUUGAGGAACUCAGCACGCGCCUUUUGGCGUCGGGGCUUCGGCCUACGUACGUGCUUAGGAUGCUGGCAUAAUGGCUUUAAACGACCCGUCUUGAAACACGGACCAAGGAGUCUAACAUGCCCGCGAGUGUUCGGGUGGAAAACCCGUGCGCGUAAUGAAAGUAAAAGUUGGGACCUCUGUCGUGGAGAGCACCGACGCCCGGACCAGACCUUCUGUGACGGAUCUGCGGUAGAGCGUGCAUGUUGGGACCCGAAAGAUGGUGAACUAUGCUUGAAUAGGGUGAAGCCAGAGGAAACUCUGGUGGAGGCUCGUAGCGAUUCUGACGUGCAAAUCGAUCGUCAAAUUUGGGUAUAGGGGCGAAAGACUAAUCGA
rnacentral:rRNA from 1 species